rnacentral:rRNA from 1 species
AACGAACGCUGGCGGCAUGCCUAACACAUGCAAGUCGAACGAGACCUUCGGGUCUAGUGGCGCACGGGUGCGUAACGCGUGGGAACCUGCCCUUAGGUUCGGAAUAACUCCCCGAAAGGGGUGCUAAUACCGGAUAAUGUCUUCGGACCAAAGAUUUAUCGCCUUUGGAUGGGCCCGCGUUGGAUUAGCUAGUUGGUAGGGUAAAAGCCUACCAAGGCGACGAUCCAUAGCUGGUCUGAGAGGAUGAUCAGCCACACUGGGACUGAGACACGGCCCAGCCUCCUCCGGGAGGCAGGAGGGGGGAAUUUUGGACAAUGGGCGAAAGCCUGACCCAGCAAUGCCCGUGGGGUGAUGAAGGCCUUGGGUUUGUAAAGCUUUUUUCCCCGGGAUGAAAAUGCCCGUACCGGGAAAAUAAGCCCCGGCUAACCCCGU